rnacentral:rRNA from 1 species
AGUGAACGCUGGCGGUAGGCCUAACACAUGCAAGUCGAACGGCAGCACAGUAAGAUCUUGCUCUUACGGGUGGCGAGUGGCGGACGGGUGAGGAAUACAUCGGAAUCUACUUUUUCGUGGGGGAUAACGUAGGGAAACUUACGCUAAUACCGCAUACGACCUACGGGUGAAAGCAUGGGAUCUUCGGACCUUGCGCGAUUGAAUGAGCCGAUGUCGGAUUAGAUAGUUGGCGGGGUAAAGGCCCACCAAGGCGACGAUCCGUAGCUGGUCUGAGAGGAUGGUCAGCCACACUGGAACUGAGGCACGGUCCAGACUCCUACGGGAGGCAGCAGUGGGGAAUAUUGGACAAUGGGCGCAAGCCUGAUACAGCCAUACCGAGUGGGUGAAGAAGGCCUUCGGGUUGUAAAGCCCUUUUGUUGGGAAAGAAAAGCAGCAGGUUAAUACCCCGCUGUUCUGACGGUACCCAAAGAAUAAGCACCGGCUAACUUCGUG